UUACGACAAUAUCAAGAUGAAACACCGGUUCCCGUACGGCCACCGAAGUUAAGCAACGUCGAUCCUGGUCAGUACCUAGAUGGGUGACCGCUUAGAAAUGUUAUGAGCU